GUUUAUACCUGAGAUCGGAUAGUCACGAGUCACCUGGCGAGCGUAACUCGUGCGUUACGUGUGUUGGCCCCUGUGCGGCGUAAUCAAUUCGCAGGUGUACGAAGCUACCUGUGUUGCGUGCGUAUAAUCAACUCCCAGGUGCUUUGAUUGGAAGUUGUUACCUGACUGCAUAACCGGUAUAAUCAACUGACAGCUCACCUCAACCUCCAGCACAACCUCCAGCACCACCUCCACCACCUCCGCCGUGUGUGACAUUGACAGAUGGAAGGACCGUUAGCUCGCUGCAUACCUGCACUGUAGCAGCCGCAGGCCUGCUCGUCUGUCAGAGAGACCGCGAGAGAGAGGGAGAGAGAAAGAGAGAGAGAGAGAGAGGGACACGGAGAGAGGCCGAGAACGGAACGGUGACCCGCUGGUCGGAGAAGAGCGACGGACGCGAGAGAGAGAGAGAGAGAAGGA